rnacentral:rRNA from 1 species
CAGCAGCCGCGGUAAUACAGAGGUCCCAAGCGUUGUUCGGAUUCACUGGGCGUAAAGGGUGCGUAGGUGGUUGGGUAAGUCUGUUGUGAAAUCUCCGAGCUUAACUCGGAAAUGGCAGUGGAUACUAUCCGGCUAGAGGAAUGGAGGGGAGACUGGAAUACUUGGUGUAGCAGUGAAAUGCGUAGAUAUCAAGUGGAACACCAGUGGCGAAGGCGAGUCUCUGGACAUUUCCUGACGCUGAGGCACGAAAGCCAGGGGAGCAAACGGGAUUAGAUACCCCGGUAGUCCUGGCCCUAAACGGUGCGCAUUUGCUGUGAGUGGAAUCGACCCCGCUCGUGGCGAAGCUAACGCGUUAAAUGCGCCGCCUGGGAAGUACGGCCGCAAGGUUAAAACUCAAAGGAAUUGACGG